rnacentral:rRNA from 1 species
UACAGAGGUCUCAAGCGUUGUCCGGAAUUAUUGGGCGUAAAGAGCGUGUAGGCGGUCCGGUAAGUCAGCUGUGAAAGUCAAGGGCUCAACCCUUGAAUGCCGGUUGAUACUGUCGGGCUAGAGUCCGGAAGAGGCGAGUGGAAUUCCCGGUGUAGCGGUGAAAUGCGCAGAUAUCGGGAGGAACACCAAUGGCGAAGGCAGCUCGCUGGGACGGUACUGACGCUGAGACGCGAAAGCGUGGGGAGCAAACAGG